GNCAGGGGCAGCACAGGUAGCAAUACUUGGUGGCGACCGGCGCANNNNUGCGUAACGCGUGAGCAACAUGCCCGUAUCAGGGGGAUAAUCCAGGGAAACUUGGUCUAAUACCCCAUAGUAAGUUUUUGAGGCAUCUCAAGGAUUUUAAAGCUUUGGUGGAUACGGAUUGGCUCGCGUGACAUUAGCUAGAUGGUAAGGUAACGGCUUACCAUGGCUACGAUGUCUAGGGGUUCUGAGAGGAAGGUCCCCCACACUGGAACUGAGACACGGUCCAGACUCCUACGGGAGGCAGCAGUGAGGAAUAUUGGACAAUGGAUGGAAAUCUGAUCCAGCCAUGCCGCGUGCAGGAAGACGGCCCUAUGGGUUGUAAACUGCUUUUGUAUGGGAGCAAUAAGAUCUACGUGUAGAUUGAUGAGAGUACCAUACGAAUAAGCACCGGCUAACUCCGUGCCAGCAGCCGCGGUAAUACGGAGGGUGCAAGCGUUAUCCGGAUUUAUUGGGUUUAAAGGGUGCGUAGGCGGUUUGAUAAGUCAGCGGUGAAAUAUUUCAGCUUAACUGGAAGGGUGCCGUUGAUACUGUCAGGCUUGAAUUUAGUUGCUGUGGGUGGAAUGUGUGGUGUAGCGGUGAAAUGCAUAGAUAUCACACAGAAUAUCGAUUGCGAAGGCAGCUCACAAAGCUAAUAUUGACGCUGAUGCACGAAAGUGUGGGGAUCAAACAGGAUUAGAUACCCUGGUAGUCCACANUGUAAACGAUGAUAACUCGCUGUCNGCG
rnacentral:rRNA from 1 species